rnacentral:ncRNA from 1 species
UAUCGACUGCCCUAGCAGACAAGCCAAGACGAUAGAUAUAAUUUUUUAAGGAGAAUAAAAUG